rnacentral:rRNA from 1 species
UCCCGUUGAUCCUGCGGGAGGUUGCUGCUAUCGGAGUUCGACUAAGGCAUGCAAGUUUGUGUCUCUUGAGACACGGCAGAAGGCUGAGUAACACGUAGAUAAUCUUCCGUGAGGUCCGCGAUAAUCUCGGGAAACUGAGGGUAAGAGCGGGCAUGAAACAUGGCCUGGGAUGGUAUGUUUCUGAAAGGUAACGGCUCACGAUGAGUCUGCGGGGGAUUAGGUAGUUGGCGGGGUAAUGGCCCACCAAGCCGAAGAUCCCUAGGGGCCCUGAGAGGGGGAGCCCCCAGAAGGACACUGAGAUACGGGUCCUAGCCCUACGGGGUGCAGCAGCCGCGAAACCUUCCCAAUGCACGCAAGUGUGAGGAGGGAACUCCGAGUGCCCAUGCACAGCAUGGGCUUUUGCCAAGGGUAAAUACCUUGGCGAAUAAGUGGUGGGUAAGACGGGUGCCAGCCGCCGCGGUAACACCCGCGCCACAAGUGGGAACCGAUUUAUUGGGUCUAAAGCGUCCGUAGCUGGUAAGGCAAAUUUUCUGUGAAAUAAUACUGCUUAACAGUAUUUCGUGCAGGAAACACUACCUUGCUAGGGACUGGGAGAGGUACGAGGUAUUCCAAGGGGAGCGGUAAAAUGUUAUAAUCCUUGGAGGACCACCGAUGGCGAAGGCAUCGUACCAGAACAGUUCCGACAGUGAGGGACGAAAGCCAGGGGAGCGAUCCGGAUUAGAUACCCGAGUAGUCCUGGCCCUAAACGCUGCAUGCUAGGUGUUGCACAAUCUUCGCGAUUGUGCAGUGUCGUAGUGAAGACGCUAAGCAUGCCACCUGGGAAGUACGGUCGCAAGACUGAAACUUAAAGGAAUUGGCGGGGGAGCACCACAAGGGGUGCGGCGUGCGGUUUAAUCGAACUCAACGCCGAGAAUCUCACCAGAGGCGACGGCAGAAUGAUAGACAGUCUAAAGGGCUUUCUUGACGAGCCGAGAGGUGGUGCAUGGCCGGCGUCAGCUCGUGCCGUAGGGUGUUCAGCUAAGUCUGACAACGAGCGAGACCUGUAUCCAUACUUGCCACCGGGGAAGAAAUUCUGACUGGGCACAAUAUGGGGACUGCCUGGGAAACCAGGAGGAAGGUGCAGGCUACGCUAGGUCUGUAUGCCCCGAAUCUUCUGGGCAACACGCGCGCAACAAUGGUAGGGACAAUGGGACACAACUCCGAAAGGAGAAGUUAAACCUCUAAACCCUAUCUCAGUCCAGAUCGAGGGUUGUAACUCACCCUCGUGACGUCGGAAUCCCUAGUAAUCGGAAUUUAUCAUAUUCCGGUGAAUAUGUCCCUGCUCCUUGCACACACCGCCCGUCAAACCAACCGAGCAGGGUUUCGGUAAGGUGGAGCUUUAUUGGUUUCACCGAAUCAAAGCUCAGUGAGGUGGGUUAAGUCGUCACAAGGUA